CCUUUGUGGUGGAGAUGUGCACGAGGACAUCCCAGAUAAAGUGGCAGAUGCUUUGGCAAGUUUUAUAAUCAGACACAAAUUUGCCGAAGCUCGCAGUGAAACUAAAAGUUCCUCGUAUCCGUUCAUGCGGUGAAAUCAAAAUAAAGCAGAGGACACUGAGAAGCAGGCCUGAAACUG